ensembl:lncRNA
CCAUCGCAGGCGCACAAUCGCACACACACUAAUUCACACACUAUGGACAAUUUAGAAAUGCCAAUCAGCCUGCAACACAUGUCUUUGGGGAGGAAACCGGAGCACCCGGAGGAAACCCCUGAAGCACGGGAAAAACAUGCAAGGUGGGGAUUGAACCCCCAACCCUGGAGGUGCGAGGCAAACAUGCUAACCACAUCAGAAUCACUUUAUUGGCCAGCUGGUGUUUGUGCGUGGUGGCAGCAUUGAUGCAGCCUGGAGAAAAGGGAAAGAUGAAGAAAUAACAACUGUGUUUACAUGCAAAAUAAUCUGUUAACUGAAAAUAAUCAGAUUUUGGCAGUAAUUUGGUAAUAAUUCAUGCAUUUCCAUGAACAUAAUUUGAGAAUAAGAAUAAGGGAAAAGUAAAGGACUACACAAAGAUGUGAGAUGAGAAGAUGGAUGGAGAUGGAGGUUUGUGGAAGAGAAAAUGGAACUAAACAGAAAAUGGCAGGUAGGAUGUGUAUAUGUGCGCGCAGAUGUGUGUGUGAGAGUGUGCAUGUGUGUGUGUGUGUGUGUGUGUGUGUGUGUGUGUGUGAGAGAGAGAGAGAGAGAGAGAGAGAGAGAGAGAGAGAGAGAGAGAGAGAGAGAGAGAAGGAGAGAGAGAAAGAGGAAAGGAAAGAAAGGAAAGAAGUAUAUGAAGCAUAGUGAAAUGAGCAAACCACAGAGAAGCCAGUUCUAGAAACAAAGGACCAGGGUGAUGCAUGGUAUAUGGAGGGUAUAAAUAUAUAGAGGUAGUGUUGAAGAACGGAUUAGAGAAAAAAGGAACAAAUGAAAGAGUAAGAAUCAGCAGAAGGUGGUUUUGCGGUCCUGAAGCCUAACGUGUGGAGGAGGG